AGAGUUUGAUCAUGGCUCAGAACGUACGCUGGCGGCACGCCUAACACAUGCAAGUCGAACGAAGUAGCAAUACUUAGUGGCAGACGGGUGAGUAACAUGUAGGUAUCUGCCCUUUGGCCUGGAAUAACACGAGGAAACUUGUGCUAAUACCGGAUAAGUCUUUACGGAGAAAGCUUUAUGCACCAUUGGAUGANCCUGCACUUGAUUAGUUUGUUGGUGGGGUAAUGNCCUACCAAGACUGUGAUCAAUAGCUGAUUUGAGAGGAUGAUCAGCCACAUUGGGACUGAGACACGGCCCAAACUCCUACGGGAGGCANCAGUGGGGAAUCUUGCACAAUGGAGGAAACUCUGAUGCAGCGAUGCCGCGUGAGUGAAGAAGGCCCUUGGGUGAAAG
rnacentral:rRNA from 1 species